rnacentral:rRNA from 1 species
CAUGCAAGUCGAACGAAUGGAUGUCUAGCUUGCUAGACUGAAGUUAGUGGCGAAACGGGUGAGUAAUACAUAGGCAAUCUGCCCUGAAGUGUGGGAUAGCUAUUGGAAACGAUAAUUAAUACCGCAUAGGUAGUAAGAAGGCAUCUUCCUACUAUUUAAAGAUGCGUCUGCAUCGCUGCAGGAUGAGCUUAUGGUGUAUUAGCUAGUUGGUGAGAUAAAAGCCCACCAAGGCUAUGAUACAUAGCUGGUCUGAGAGGAUGAACAGCCACAUUGGGACUGAGACACGGCCCAGACUCCUACGGGAGGCAGCAGUAAGGAAUUUUCGGCAAUGGGGGCAACCCUGACCGAGCAACGCCGCGUGAGUGAUGAAGGUCUUCGGAUCGUAAAACUCUGUUGUAAAGGAAGAAUGUCAUAUAUAGGAAAUGAUAUAUGAGUGACGGUACUUUACUAGAAAGUCACGGCUUACUACGUG